rnacentral:snoRNA from 1 species
GCACCCUCUUAAGGUUGAUGCAGUGCCUUAAGAGGUUAACACAGAAGGGGAAAGGAAACCUCCAUAAAACCCAGAGAAGAGACUGUAAAACUCCUCCCUGCAUCUCGUCUGGAGUCACAGCU